rnacentral:rRNA from 1 species
GCUGGCGGCGUGCCUAAUACAUGCAAGUCGAGCGAACGGACGAGAAGCUUGCUUCUCUGAUGUUAGCGGCGGACGGGUGAGUAACACGUGGAUAACCUACCUAUAAGACUGGGAUAACUUCGGGAAACCGGAGCUAAUACCGGAUAAUAUUUUGAACCGCAUGGUUCAAAAGUGAAAGACGGUCUUGCUGUCACUUAUAGAUGGAUCCGCGCUGCAUUAGCUAGUUGGUAAGGUAACGGCUUACCAAGGCAACGAUGCAUAGCCGACCUGAGAGGGUGAUCGGCCACACUGGAACUGAGACACGGUCCAGACUCCUACGGGAGGCAGCAGUAGGGAAUCUUCCGCAAUGGGCGAAAGCCUGACGGAGCAACGCCGCGUGAGUGAUGAAGGUCUUCGGAUCGUAAAACUCUGUUAUUAGGGAAGAACAUAUGUGUAAGUAACUGUGCACAUCUUGACGGUACCUAAUCAGAAAG